rnacentral:rRNA from 1 species
CACGCAGGCGGCUUGGUAAGUCAGAUGUGAAAGCCCGGGGCUUAACCCCGGAAGUGCAUUUGAUACUAUCGGGCUUGAGUAUGGGAGAGGGAAGUGGAAUUCCUGGUGUAGAGGUGAAAUUCGUAGAUAUCAGGAGGAACACCGGUGGCGAAGGCGACUUCCUGGACCAAUACUGACGCUGAGGUGCGAAGGCGUGGGGAGCAAACA